rnacentral:rRNA from 1 species
GACAGAGGGUGCAAACGUUGUUCGGAAUUACUGGGCGUAAAGCGUGCGCAGGCGGUUUUGUAAGUCUGUCGUGAAAGCCCCGGGCUCAACCUGGGAAUUGCGAUGGAGACUGCAAGGCUUGAAUCUGGCAGAGGGGGGGUAGAAUUCCACGUGUAGCAGUGAAAUGCGUAGAGAUGUGGAGGAACACCGAUGGCGAAGGCAGCCCCCCUGGGUCAAGAUUGACGCUCAUGCACGAAAGCGUGGGGAGCAAACAGG